AUACAUACUUUAAUAUGUAUGUAUUAACAUAUUUUAAAAAUGACUAUGAUCUGAUGGUAGUAGAGACUGAUUGCUUACUUGAAAAAAUUAUUUCAUACAUGUCAAAAUGCACUAUCCUCAACUAUUUAAUUGGUUUGUAAAAUGCUUGAAGUAUGUAAAAAAAAUAAAGAUGUAGUUUUUCAUACCUUACAGUCUUAUAAAGAGUUGCUAGCUGGCACAAAGACAAUUAAUUCAUUUUACAAUGAAAAUUUACUUUGAUAGUUUGAAGGCUAGUGCUAUGUAGGACAUUUUCCAGAAGACCAGAGAUACUUCAGAUAAAAAGAAAUGUAUAAAACACAGCUAUCAGAAAUGGUUUUUUAAAAAGAAUAUAUUAUAAAAUAAGACAAUCACUUUUUAAGAAAAGACUUUUCAUAUCGAUUUCUUCUAUUCAAACAGACUGACAUGACUCAGGUAUUUUUAAGUGUUUUAGAAACACUUCCUCAAAAAUUUCCAAGACAGCAGCCUUCAGAUGCUCCCUCAAUCCCAGUGUUGCUCAGAUGAAGCAAAUCUUAUGAGAACUUACCACCAACCACAAGUUUUUUUGAGGCAUGGACCGUAUCUUACUCUUUGUCUUAUCCCCAGUGCUUAGAAGUAGGCUCUCCUCGACAAAUGUUCACUGAACUCCAUUGCUGAAAUUAUAACAGCAAAAAUAUCAACACAACUCAUCAAUAAAUAAACAGUCCUUUGGAGGAUUGUGGGAAAUCAAAACACUUUCAGUUUAUACAAGUAUCCAUAAACACAUGAAAAUGUUCUAGUUUAUCCUAAAUGCCCCAGCCCUUAUGAGUACUACAGGAAGAAGUAAUUAAAAGGGAAAAUUUUCCUGAGUAGUUCAUAAACUGUGGGUAGUUUUUAAAACUGAAUAGCAGUCUGAGAAUUUUAAGAGGCAAGCUAAAUAUUAGAUAUACUCAGUCUUAUUAUAUAGUAUAUAGCAACUUCGUAAUUAGUAGUACCACAUAAUUGUUUUAUACAGGUCCCAUAUUCAGUCAGGCCUGCUUUUAAAAUUAAGUCACAAAAGAGAAAACAUUUUCAAUCUGUAAUUAAAUUUAAACCAUUAAUUUGAAUUAUACUUUUAAGGUCUAUUAAUUUAACAAAGAUAGCCAAAAGUUGCUAUUUGAGGAAAAGGCCUUCCAAUCAGGUUGUGAACAGUGAAAGUUAUUAAAAAAAAAAAAAAAA